GAUGAAGAACGUAGCGAAAUGCGAUACGUAAUGUGAAUUGCAGAAUUCAGUGAAUCAUCGAAUCUUUGAACGCAUAUUGCGCUCUCUGGUAUUCCGGAGAGCAUGCUUGUUUGAGUAUCAGUAAACACCUCAACUCCCUUUUCUUUUUUGAAAUUGGAGCUGGACUUGAGUGAUCCCAACGCUUUCUUCCAAGAAAGUGGCGGGUUGCUUGAAAUGCAGGUGAAGCUGAACUUUUCUCUGAGCUAUAAGCAUAUCUAUUUAGUCUGCCUAAAAAACAGAUUAUUACCUUUGCUGCAGCUAACAUAAAGGAGACUCGUUCUUGUGCUGACUGAUGCAGGAUUCACAGAGACAGCUUCGGCUGACUUUGUAAACUCGAUCUCAAAUCAAGUAAGACUACCCGCUGAACUUAAGCAUAUCAAUAAGCGGAGGA
rnacentral:misc_RNA from 1 species